AUGGUUACAUUCACCGGAGAUGACGUUCGGGCACUGUUUUCCCACUCCACCCAUCAGCACGCACUUAAGCCGGUAGACACGGAGAAGCUGUUCCGGUGCGACGGCUGCAAGCAGCUCGGCGACGAGCUCAGACUCCGGUGCGAGCAAUGCGACUUCGACCUCCAUGUAUGCUGCGCCCAAGCGCCGGCGCGCAUCGAGCCCUCGAUGUUGGAGGGCCGUGCGCUCACCUUCUUCAACAGCCGUCCCGCGACGGCGACCCAUGCAGGCGGUAUUAUUCCGCUGUGCGACGUCUGCGGGGACCCGGUGCGCGGCUUCCUGUACCACAACGGCGUGCACGAUAUCGACCUCCACCCUUUCUGCGCAAUCCUGCCGAAGCGCACGAGCAUGGGGGAGGACGACGGCGUCAUGCUGGAACUCCACAACGCCGCCGGCCAUAACUGCGAGUUGUGCGGGAAGGAUGGGAAGCGCGGCCGGUACUUGUCAUACCGAUUCCAGCGUGACGACGGCCAGCUUGUGCACAUCCACGUGGCUUGCUUGAUGGAGGCGAACUACUCCCCGCCGCAGAACAGGCCCAGGAGGAGGUCCGGCAAGUUCAAGCGUGUCUGCAAAGCCGCAUUCAUCGUAGCGAGGGUGAGCUACGCAGUCACCACUAUGAAUCCGGUGGGGGUUGUCACAGCGUUUCUGUAA
rnacentral:rRNA from 1 species